GGUAGCAUAAUCAUUAGUCUCCUAAUUAGAGGCUUGUAUGAAUGGUCGGACAAGAUGGAAACUGUCUCAAUACAAUUAAUAAAAUUUAAUGUUUAAGUAAAAAAGCUUAAAUAAUAUGGAGGGACGAUAAGACCCUAUAAAGCUUUAUGAUAUUUCUUUUUUGUAUAAAAUAUUUAUUGUUAACAUAUUUAAAAGUUUAUAUUAUUUUACUGGGGCGGUAAAAGUAUAUUAAAGACUAACUGCUUUUGUUUUUUAUAACAAUUAUAAUUGAAAAUAAAUUGAUCCAUUAUUAAUGAUCAUAAGAACAAGUUACUUUAGGGAUAACAGCGUAAUUUUUCUUGAGAGUUCUCAUCGAAAGAAAAGUUUGCGACCUCGAUGUUGAAUUAAGGUUACCUUAAGGUGCAGCAGUUUUAAAGGUAGAUCUGUUCGAUCUUUAAACCUUUACAUGAUUUG
rnacentral:rRNA from 1 species